rnacentral:sRNA from 1 species
UGCAACAGACUUGUAUCUCUCUAUCCACGCUUUCAUGAAUGUCCAUGGGAGAGCACGUGAGGGUAAUGGAGUAGGUUUAAAUCGUUUUACCAUUCUCUCGAUUGAAUGAGAUGGCGAGAACCAACAGAAUGGUUGAAUUCAACAACAGAGACUUCAAUCUGAGUAGAAGCCUCCCCUUCUUGAACAUCACUGUCCCAAGUGAUUAAGUCAGGGACAGGUCGAGUUGGCAGCUCUCGAUCAUGGCAGAUAGUGAUGGCGUGAGCAGUUGCAUACUCCUUUGGAUUUUGUAUUGACUUCCCAGGAAGUCCUGUAACUUUAGGUGUAGAGGUAGAUGCUGCUUGGCUUUCCACGUAUCUGACUUUGGUGUUCAAUGCCUCCACUUUGGAAUUUAGGUCAUUGUAGCUGCAGUCCAGCUUAUGGUGCAAUUCAGAUAACUUCUUAGCAAUUUCGAUGGAGCUAGAUGCUUGUCCCUGUAGCAGAUGUUGUGCCAUCUGUUUCAUUUCAGCAUCAGGAGCAGCAGGACUUUGGUUUUGCUGAGGUGCAAACCCAGGUGGUGGUUGCGGCUGGUAGUUCCCCUGAAAUUGCUGCUUGGGAACGAAACCUUGGUUGUAGGGAACAAAAGGUUUGUUCUGACCUUGUUGUUGCUGUGGAGGGAUACACAUGAUCCUGAGGAUUAGCAACGUUGGUACUGCGGUAGGAGAGGUUGGGGUUGUUGGUUUUGAAGUUGGUGUACCCUUUGUAGCCACUCUGGUUGUUGUUGAUGUAGCUGACUUCUUCCAACUGGUUGCCCUCCCCAUCUUGGACUUGAUACUGCUCGUCAUCAACAAGGAAGUGCACAUGCUUCUGCUGGCUAAGAAGAAUCCUGUCCAGCUUGUCAUUCAGCGCUUUGAUCUCCUUUCUGUGUUUGUCAUCAGAGUCAGUUGUGCUUCUGACGGUCCUAUCGCAGUCCUCGUUGUAAUUACCAUCUAAUUGAGCUAAGUUCUCAACUAAUUCCCAUCCUUCUUCAACAUCCUUGUUCUGGAAAUUCCCAUUGCUGGCGGUAUCCAGAAGCAUUUUGAUGUGUGGUAGAACUCCUCUGUAAAGAGUGCUGAGCAGAGAGGCUUUAGUGAAGCCAUGAUGAGGGCAUUGGUUGGUAUAACCCUUGAAACGCUCCCAUGCUUCACAAAAGCUUUCACCAGCCUUCUGUAAAAAACCAGAAAUCUCAUUUAUGAGUCUUGCAGUUCUAGCGUUGGAGAAGAACUUUGAUAGAAAAGCCUUCUUGCAAUCAUCCCAGGUGGUGAUUGAGUCAUGGGGCUGAUUCUUCUCCCAGAUGUGUGCUUUGUCGCCCAAGGAGAAUGGAAACAAACGGAGCUUGAAUUCGUCUUCACUGACACCAUUGAUCUUUGUUAGGUUGCAGAGCCUAUCAAAUUCAUCAAGGUGGUCGAGUGGUUCCUCCAUUGGUAGACCAUGGAAUUUGUUCGCCUGAAUCAUCGAGAUGAGACCACUCUUAAUCUCAAAGUUGUUGUUCUGGAUAGAAGGAGGUGCAAUUCCUUUCCUCUGACGAUGAUCCCAUGGUGCAUCUCCAGCACCAGUGUUGGUAGGGCCAUUUUGUUGAUUCUGUUUGUCAGCCAUUUCGAGUGGUUGCUGGGGCAAAAGGGUGACUGUGUUUCUACUUUCUCUGAGUUCGCGAGCUAUGCAGUCCAUGUUGUCGUUGAAAAGGAAAUUCUGGGGGCCUGUUGAUCGAGUUUGCAUACAGCAGAGGUGUACCUGGAUCAAGAAGACAACAAGAAAAACACACAGUUAGUAACAGAAAAAAAAAUUGAAAAAGAACUUGAUCUAAGCGAGUCUAAAAUCUCAAAUGUAACAAACAAACACCCAAUUGGCAACGGCGCCAAAUUGAUAAUAGUUUUUUAGUCAAUUAUCCUAAAACACCAAUCAUAUCGUUGUAUUAGUUUAGGUUGUCAAUCCAAAUGGGUGUAAUGCUAACAAUCAAGAUGUGAUCAGAAGUCACUAAGUCAAGCCAAGCAAUAAUAAGUUUUGGUGUGUUCUAGCAGUCCUGAGUGAACAUGCAGAAAACAGAAAAUCAAGCAGAAAGAGUAAAACACUCGACUAACACAGCUCGUUGCAGAGCACUGGGUGUGGUCGAGUGACAGGUCGAGGAACAGACAGUAGAUGAAACAAAGAUACUCGACUGCACAGUCUGUUACCAGACAACUGGGUGGUCGAGUACCAGGUCGAGUAACAAGAAAGAAUUGCAGAAACUAAGCAACAGAUAACAAGAUGCAGUAAACAACAGUAGAGUAAACAAUAAAAUCAAUCAGAUAAAGAAUUCUCGAGGAUGGGGUAAUUGAGUAGUUUCGUUUCCUCAGUUUACAAGUGAUUGACAUGCUCAAUUAAUUAUCCCUAGACAACAAGUUCAUUAACCAAAUCUAAGUGCCACCGCAACAGAGACCCUCAAGUUAACCUAGUCCCAGACUCAAUCACCAUUGACGAGAGCUAACCUAACAGGCAUUACAAAUCAACAAGUUAAAACCAAAAUGCUCCCUGCAACCAAUACAUUGGUACAGGGCCACGAAUCUCUGGAAUUAGUGGUUCAGACAUUUCAUCGAACACCUUUUGGGCGCAGAAAUGUCUGGGCUCAAAUUCCAGUUGAUCAGAAAGCAAUAGGCAUUAAGAACAACUAAUCCAAAAGGGAUCUAUCAAUCAAACUCAACCACCUAGCAUACUGAGAAUUCUAUACUACUCUAACCCAUCCUCAGAAACCUAUUCACUACUCAAACAUCAUUGUAGAAAACAUAAACGUAUGAUAACAACA